AAUUCACACAGAUGACCAUCGACCGUGAAGCACUGUGAUGCUUUCAUUUCGAGUUCCGUAGAGUAAGACACAGUCGACGUGUUUUCCUUUUGCAAAUUUCAGAGCAAGAUAUCCUGUGACAGUCUGAUUAUUUUGGGGCUAUAGGUUGGUUAUUAGGUCGGGUAAGAAGUUUUCUCGUUCAUUUUAGAGAACUUCGGAUCCAAUUUUCGCGGAAGCGAAACUUCAUUAAGCAAAUGGAGGGCUCGUAAGAAAACGAGCCACGUUACAUCUUUUGGCUUCUUUCAUAAUGUCAUUUAGUCGUCGUUUUGUUAAAAAACGAGACUCGCAACAUGGAGGAAUCUAUAAUAUAAAAAAUGAUCGGUAUUUUGACUUAUUUGUAAAUAUGUACUGGGGAAUUUCGUAAUAUUCGUGAAUCGACACGAGAAAUUCUCCCGUCUCGCUUGUUAUCAGCUAUCGACAACGAUACGCGUACAUGUGUUAUAUAAGUAUGUACUCUCUCGAAAAAUAAUUGAAGUUGAGAAAGCCUGACGCAACGCAACGAUGCGUACCAAGUUCGUUUCAAGGUGCGAACAAGUUCUCCCUUUGACAUUACAUCCCCUAAGAAAGUAACACGAUUUCAUUCGUCUGUUUUUCUUUUUUUUUUUUUUUUGGAAACUAAAGAAAAACUAACAAGACCUCGGGUUGACCCAAUAACAUUCGAAUCCUCCCACUAACGUUAUUCAGCAUUGCAGAAAAAGGUCGCUCGAAGGAAAAGUAUAGAAGAUCUCCUACGGGUAUUUCAUUUAUUUAAUAAAGUUAUCUGUAAUAUAUUUUACAAGGUUACGUCGCCUGACAAAGGAAUUUAUCGCUAUUUUCGAAUAGAAUUAAAAGAAAGGCUUCCCCACAAACUCGAUAGUUUAAAGGGAAAAAUCCUAAAGAGUUCGAUUGCAGAUCUAUCGUACAAUUGAAUUUCGCUUCAUCGUGUUACGAGCAGCUAGCGGUUAAAAAAAGAAACAAAUAUCCCGCGACUAUUCUAUUCGCUACUAGGAAAAACUCGAUACGAGUGAAACGAGCAGCCUUCCGUCAAAUUUGUGACGAAUGUUAAUCCAAUUUCGAGCGAACGUCACUGUUGAACGAUUAACGCAGUAUGCGUUUAAUCGAAUUCCCGAUUAGGUGCAUAGAUACUUCUAUUGAAAAUAGCUUCGUUCGAUUGUUUCAAAUUCAAUUAACGUAUAUAUACGUCAUUACAUAGGUGACUGCGAUAAUUCGUGGAAUCAUGUGAAAUUAAUUUUCGUCGUCCAAGCUAUUCAAAGUAUCAUAUAUUGAAAAAGUGUAUGCUGGAUUUUCUUGAAAUAUUCAAAUGACAGAAAAUAACGUGAUAUUUUAUUUACGAGACAAAUUAACACGAAUAAUUUAAAGAUGGCACGUUAGCUAGGACAUUUUAAUUAAAGAGUAUUGUAUAGCACUGUGUCAUCAUCAAACGCCAUAACGCCUGUUGACAACUAGCAAAGGUUAUUCAAAGUAGUGGCACGAAAACCCAUUCAUAAAUUAAUUCAUUGCAAAGUUAACGUCGGCUAAUAAAAUAAUACCGGCGCUUCUAUACACAAAAUAAUUAAAAAUCGUUUAUUCUCCUCAGAUCUCAAAUGUCAAGUGUCCGAUGUAAAGACCUACUCGCAAUCAUCAAUAUGCAUAAAUAUAUCCGCUAUUAUACUUAUUUCCUGACAAUUGAGUGAAAGCGAAACUGUUUACUAACUAUAUCUGUAACUAUAUAUAUUUACUAACUCCAUAUAUAACUGUUUAUUAACUAUAUAAUCAAACAACUCGAUUCGUAAGAUAAUUAAAAAAUAUCUACUUACAGAACACAGAUACUGUAACCAAAAAGCCUUAACAUCAACCUAUACUCCACAAUCGAUAUACAAAAUACAAUCGUUUCAUUUCUCAAUGUUUCUCAAACAUCAGCUACGAAACAAAAACUACCUGCACAUGGUAGCAGCGGGCCUGCGCGUUUCCAUAGUUCGUUGCACGAAGCGGGAGAAAAUCGGUUCCUAGAAUCUAUCUCACAGCGACGACGCCAAGACUACGCGAACGAAAGGAGGAAUUUCGAAAGUGUGGCAGCCGACGAAGGACCUUGAGGAUCCCUCGUCGAGGAUCCCUUCGACCGUUACCAGGGACAGCUGUCUGCGAGCAAUGCCGCGAACCAGCAUAAAGUGCGGCUUGGUCGACGAUUCACGACGCGGAUGACGCCAUUCCCUACCUUCUAGCGUUUCUUCCUACACCACAUGAAGCCCCGUUCACACGGUACCUCGACCUCCAGGCUUCCUAGGCUGCAUCCUCCCGAACCAAUUGCCACCAGGUCAGGGAUGAAAAGAACGUUCCCCGAGUUUAAAUCCCCUAAGGAUUCUACAGUUUGAUUUUCUGAGUUUUCCUAGAUAUAAACGUCUGAAGUAAAAAUGAUAUUUAAUGCUGUUUUUGUGUUGUUAGAUGGCAAGGACUAUCAGCGUGAAGGCAGAAAUACCUAAUAAUAGAAUGCACGAAUGACAAACACAAAGCGAAGAUAGUCGCUAGAGACUAGAUUUUGUUGCAGAAACAUCUAAAGUUUGACAACUGGAAUUGAUAUAUAAGUUAUUCGGAUAUUAAACUCAUCAACUUUGUUUUAUGGAACGUCCGUUAACUUUACUGCCAAAGUACACGAGUAGUGUUUAGCGUUUGGAUAAAAAUAGGUUUUGUUAUAACUGGAGUACAAAUUUCUAUGCAUUUAUGGGAAAUUCAAAGAUGCAGAAAAAUGCAUAGAGCGCAAACAAUACGCAGGAAUAUGUAAAAUAACCAAAGCCACAGGAUGUGAUCUUAGAAAGGAAACUGGCAAUCAUUGGACGACGGGACACCGAACGAACUCUCAUACCGAAAAAUAUGUCAGAACACGUGUUGGCGAAGCCCCAGAACAUCUUCGAACCGAAUCCUUAGGAUCUUGUAGUUCAAUGCGCCUCGAAUGCGUCACGAUAUGUUGCGCGUGAAAAGUUUCUCAGCUGCGAGUUGCCGGUCGUGAAACAGGCAGAAAUUCACGAUCUUCAUUGAGCAUCGAAUGAAAAACGUCCUGACGUUUUCCGCGAAUAACGGGC